AUCAUUUCUUUACAUCUUCCUUCCAUCUUCCCACCGCGCACUUCUCUCUCUCUCUCUCUCUCUCUCUCUCUCUCCGCUGUGGUCAUCCGACGGCCGAUCGCCUCCAUUCAUAGCCGCUGGCGGACCAAGCCUAGUCACCGCUUCAUCGCCUGCGAGGCGGACUGAGAUCUUGCGCGUUUCGGAGUACCUUUUGAUUGUGGAGGGAAGAACAAACUAAAGCUCAGACAUGAGAAAAAAGAAAAAGGAUUGGUGUGUAAGAAUGGCAGAAAAGGCAAAUCAGGUAUGGUGUUGUGUUUUAUUCGGUAUGGGCGGCAUAGGAAAUAAAGUUAUUUUUGGAGUAAAAAGGCGAAGCACUUUCCAAUGUUUGGUUCGAUUGAAGAAAGUUUUCUCACUCAUAAGUUCAAUCUGAGAAUGUUAAGAUUGAUAUUUUUAUUGAACGAAGUGGGACAUACUCUACUUGGGAAUGGUGCUGAGAAAUUAUGAAUUUUUAUACAAGUAACGAUCUAGAAAAUCACCUCUUGGUAAGGAAAGAUAAUGAGGCAUUCACAUACAUAAAAGGUUUUUAUAUAAUUUAUGAAUUCAUCUAUAUCUUUGACAUGUGAUGAGGAUCAACAUACACCUCGAGUUUCUUUUAGGAACAUUGUCAUGCGUGGGUGAUCUUUUCGAAGUCCACUAUUAGAUGUGAAUCUUAAUUGCAGUAAUUGAAGACCUUAUUUACAGCAAUUGAAGCUUCUCUUGGAAGUUAGCUUGAAAACUUACAAGUCAAAGAAUUUUAAUAGCAGCAAUUGAAGAAUUUAUUUACAACAAUUGAAGAUUCUCUUCGAAGUAAGUUUUGAAACUUGCAAGUCAAAAAAUUUUAAUUGCAGUAAUUGAAGAUUUUAAUUGUAGCAAUUGAAGUUUCUCUUGAAAGCUAAGAGGAUGACGACUUGCAAAUCAAAAUGUCUUGUUUUUUUUAUGUUACUUUUGUGUUUCUUUAAUUUUUUAAGAAGUCAUGUGCAAGUCAUAAGCAUGCUCAUGUAAGACCUUAAAUAUGUCAUCACUUGUAUUGUAAAGAAGGAAUUGCAUUAUCAAUUAAAAAGAAGUCUUUGUUUAAA